rnacentral:rRNA from 1 species
GUAUCAGAAUGACGCGGUGAAUACGUUCCCGGGCCUUGUACACACCGCCCGUCACACCAUGGGAGUGGGUUGCUCCAGAAGUAGAUAGUCUAACCCUCGGGAGGACGUUUACCACGGAGUGAUUCAUGACUGGGGUGAAGUCGUAACAAGGUAGCCCUAGGGGAACCUGGGGCUGGAUCACCUCCUUAUACGA